GAAUGUUUCAUCAUGAGAUGUAAGCAUCAUGUUCAAGACCCUGAGUGCUUCAUAAAAAAAAAAGUUCCUUUUCCACCAAAAUAAUGCCCUGAUUUGAGUGCUUCAUCAAAAGAGAAAGAUUUCUCAUGAUAAACCAUAUUCUAAGCACUUAGAUCACAAUAUAGUAAAUUUUCAAAAGGAAGUCACUUUUGCCAAGAUAUAAAGGCUCAUGUAUGUAAAUUCUAUGCUUCCAAUAUAAGCACAUUUCAAAAAUAUUAUUAAACACUUAUUUACUGAGUGCUGCUUAUAUGCCUCCUAUUCUCACUCUUUUUUGUGGUUGAAUUUAAUCAACACACAACUCUAAGGAAUAGGCAUGACUCAUUAUUUUCAUUUUACACUUGAGGAAACUGAGGCACUCAGUGUUUUACAUAUAUAAAAACGAGUAUGAGGUUCAGCCAAAAUUCAAAUACCGAACGUCUGGCUCCAAAGCCCACAUGGUAUUCACCAUAAAUAGAAAUUUCAUACUAGAAAUCAUAUUGUUUUCUUUCCCUCAGGAGCAAUUUAGGAAAUAAAUUAAAAACUUUAAAGUGGUGAUUUAAAGCAACUCACCUUUUUGCCAGUUAUGUGUUACCUUAAGAGAAAAUUGCAAGAAAUGAGAAAGAUAAAGCUUGAUGAGGAUGACACUAUCAUGAAUCACACGAAAAGAAAAGAGGAUUAUUUAGCAUAUUGAAUAUGAAGUUGUAGAUUCAGGGCAACAUCAAGACGGAUGAACUCCCCCACCAAGCUGUUUAACAAACUGGCUCUCUGUCGAGCUGGCCAUGCCGAGUUAGUAGCAGAUCUGCAAUGAUGCCUCUACCAAGCUCACAAUUAUACAAAUGGUGCAGCAGCAGGAAAGCACAUAGAAGAAGGCUACACAGAAGAUACAAGCUCCAGUCAGGUCAUGACACAAAGCCACAGAACUUAACUGGGAAAUGAGCAAUGCUUAUGUGUCCAGCAUUGUCUCAAUUGGUUUCCCAUGCAGAGAGCUCAAAGAGCAUCCUAUCUGAUAUGCACCAGGCAACAACUGAGAACAAGGACCAGCCAAAGUCAUCAGAAGGGUAGCACAGUUGCUGCUAGCAGAUGCCCAAACUUCAACGGGAGCUUAGGCUUCUGGAGGGAAUGCUGACUUUCCUUCCUCUGUUGUGGAAAAGGCUAGCUGCCUGGUCUUCUUAAUUCUAGAAAUGACUUUGAUGUGCCUGCAGUUCUCUUCCACUCCAGCUUUAGCAUUCUGCCCUGCCUAUAUUCUCUCUGCUGAACUUUUUCUCUCCUCUUCACUGUGAUGAAGUCAGGGACAGACUUCCUAAUUGUCCUAAUUUGGAACAGAGCUCAGGCCAUAAAGCAUCCUCCCUAAAGCCAUCGAUGGAGCAAGCAUCUUCAUCUCAUCACAUCCAAUAUUAUGAGCUAAAUAACAAUAGAAUCAUAAGAUUUCCUCAAGCCACAUGUUAGUGUUAAUAAUGGCUUCCCUAAAUAUAUUUUGUUAAAACAUUUCAGCAUUUUCUAAUUAUUUUCACACGUAUUUCAUUGCUUAAAGAUACUAAAC
ensembl:lincRNA